rnacentral:misc_RNA from 1 species
CUCUCUCUCUCUCUCUAUCUAUAUCUAUUGCUUCACUUUGUCGUUUGCUCUCUUUUCCUCGUUCUCGAUUACCUUUCUUUUUCAACCCUUCACGUGAAUAUACAGUAUGUUUGCAUUACUUUUCAUGUUACUACAUAUAUCUGUUUAUUUCUUCUUUUGUAUUUUCCAUGUACUUAUGUUACUUUCCUCUGUUUCUUUACUUCUUCCAUACGGUAGGCGUAUUUAACAGAGAAUCGUGCAGUACAACAGUGAAUCGUUAGUAGAACAAAAGAGGGAAAGUUGACGCUUUAUGUUCACCUUUCAAUAAUGUUUCUUUCACCGGAAAGAGGACGUUUUUUGACAUAAAAAAUGAGUUUUAAAUGCCGAAGUAUUAUUACUAAAAAAACUCGAUAUUAAGGAACGUUUUUUUUCUGUAUUUAUUUAUCUUUUUUUUUUUCUCGAACUAUCUCACUCUCCCCCUCGCCCCCUCUCUCACUCUCUUUCUCUCUCUGUCCUAAAAAGAGGGACUAUCACUCAAGAAAGGCAUACUAAAUGCUGUAUAUUUCAAAUAGGAAAAAAAAAACAACAAAGCUACGUCUACAAGUUCGGCGGUCACGUAGUUGUCGUAGCCGGCUUUUUCGCCCUACAAUGGGGAAUGACUAAAGAAAGGAAAGAAAAGCAGAUGAGAAAGAGAAACUAUUAUAAAACAAAUUGGUAAUUAAUCGGGGAAUAAAUUCUUCAAGUAGUCUAACCCAAUAGAGCAAAGAGAAGAAGGAAAAGGUUGAGGGAAGAAUUGAGGAAGUGAGUAUGGGGAAGAAGAGAGACUUCUAAUUGCGAUGGUUUGAAACGCCCAAUUAAGGAGUGCUAAGUGGGUCAAUUGUAUAACGUAAUCAAAGCGAGGCUGAGGCCAUCCUACCGCAUUAUCAAAGUGUCAAGAACAAAAUGAGGAAGCAGACGAAUAAUGCCCCAUAGACGCCGCUGCGGCGCGCUCUUCGCUCUUCUUUUAUAUCUUUCAUUUGCUGUGCAGAAUGCGGUCGACGACUAUUUAUUCGACGUUCUAUUUCAUAUAUUCUUCAAUUAUUUCAGGUACGUUUGAAAAGAAUAUAAUGUCUGUUUUUCUUUGAACGGCAGCAAACUUUGUGUGUAAUAAUCACGUUUGCGUGUCGUUCUUUUCGACGUUGAUGUAUGAGGUGGAAGAGAGGCGGAAAGAUAAUAGCGUUUUACUGGCGGAGACAUCAUUCGAAUAGUCUGUCAUGGUAAAGGUUAAGAUUAUGUAACGUUAAAUAGACGCUUUACAAUAUUAUUUGUGUACCAAUUGAAGAACGUUUAUUGACGACACUAUGAAUAUUUAAAUACGUCAUCGUGAAAAAAAAGAAACGCUAUAUUCGAUCUAAUUCGUCAAUUUUCUACUGUAAACAAAGCGAACGACGGAAUUUGGCCGACAGGCAAAUUGCAGUUUUCGUUGCAGAAAUAUACUUACAGCACUUAGCAGAGAACGUCUAUUCGACAACAUUUAGAUAUUUAGGCAUUAAUUGCAUUUCGUCGUGACGUUUCAAUCAGACGUCGUCGUACAUAUUAUACAUUGUUUGGCAAACAAUUUGCUUAGAGUAAGAAACAAACAACUGGGAAGGAACAAGAAUCGAUUAAAAUAAUAUAAUUUUCCCUUAUGACUUUAAUGCACCUUCUGUCUACUAUACAGUAUAUAUAUAUAUAUAUAUAUAUAUGUUAGUAAUAUAUCCUUGACUGUCCUAAACCAUAUAUUGUAUAUAUAUAUAUAUAAUUUGAUAUCUUUAUUUAUAUAUUUAACUCAACGAAGCAUUUGCAUUUUUUUUCUCCUUUUUUCUAUAGCCGACUUGAAAACUGAGACCGUGUGCCAAGUGAACGAAUUUAAAGCUGAUUGCCUAGAAGAUGAAACUAUAAUAAUAAAGAAAGCUCUAUGGGGGAGAAUGAAAAAAGGACAUUGCAUUGAACGUACUCUUGGAUGGGUAAAUUGCUCCAGUAAUAUAAUUGACUAUUUAGAUAAGAAAUGCUCAGGAAAGAAGAGGUGUUCCUUUCUUGUUCCAAAUGAAGACUUGGAUAACAUAGAUCCCUGCAAUUCGAUAGACUUAAAAAAUUAUCUAGAAGUGGAAUAUGUCUGCAUUAAAGAACGUAAAUUACCCUGUAGAAUCAGUCGGAGACUCUCCUCUUCUGCGCCAUCUGCCGUCCUUUUUCCAAAUACAUCAUGCUCUAGUCAAAUUCAAGCGAAAGAAGGUCAGCGAAUUAGGGUCAAAAUCUAUGGCAUUUCAGUACCUUACGAUGUAUCAUUGGAUAUUUGGGAAGCGGGACGCUCUGUUAAGAAAUUCGAAUUUCGGAAUAAUAAAGUUACAAGAUAUUCUUACGAAUCGGAAAGUAGCCGUUUGAAUAUCUCGUUGACAAACUUUCAUACUCACCGAUUUGACGAGGAGAGGAUAUUCGUUACCUAUGAUUAUAUCGGAUGUCCGCACUUAUACUUUGCCGAAAAGAAUAUCCAAGUGAAAAUAUUACACGACUCAGUAACCGCCGAAAUAACUUGCCGCGCAGAUGGCCAUAUUUAUAAGCAUACUUGCGUCGGACAUAAAUGGAUAGGACCAACAGUCAACUGCAAUCCAACAUCUCCCAAAAAUAAUGCAGAUGGCGCUAGUCAGUUAUCAAUGCCUCACGGAAUAUCGAUGGCCUUGACCGUAAUAAUAGCAUUAGCAAUUGCCUUUCUUCUGCCCGCUUUAGUUCUGCUCCUUUUACGGAGAAGAUUGGCAAAAAAGAAGAAAAAGAGUAGAAGGAUACCAACUGAAGAUAUUUAUGAUAAAUAUAAUAACGUGGCUGUUUUGGGAACAAGAAAAUGCUGCAAAUUUGAAAAUGAAAAUGAAGAUAUACCACCAGAUAUUUUGGGAGAUGGACAAACUAACUUAUCCCUUAUAAAACCUUAUAGGAACGCCAGUGCUGUUUAUUAUUCCCAAGUGCCUAAUUACGACAGGUCACUAUAUUUUACCAAUCAUAAUUAAAGCAGGUAUAUUUUUUACAAAGAAGAGAAGAUGAAAAUUACAAGAUCAAAAGUAUUUAAGCGUUUAGAAGGCUGCUAAAAGAUGGAGAGAGAGAGAGAGAGAGAGAGAGAUACUGUAUAUGUGUACAUUAUAUGUAUAAAGUAUAUAAGUACAUAUGUAUAUACUAUAUAUUUCCAUGUAGAUGUAAAUAUAAUAUACGUCAUAUGUAUGUUUUUAACAUCAUCUAUAAAUAUAUCUUACGUAUUGUGUGCAUCAGAUAUGUGCACCUCCAACUAGAUUUUCUUCUUAUUGAAACAUAUUAUAUACGUUGUAUAUUCGAGUGUUUCCUUUUCUUCUUCCCUUUUUUCUACAAAUAUAAAUCAAAAGUCUGAUCUACCUAAGUUUUUUU